UACGGAGGGGGCUAGCGUUGUUCGGAAUUACUGGGCGUAAAGCGCACGUAGGCGGCUUUGUAAGUUAGAGGUGAAAGCCCGGGGCUCAACCCCGGAACUGCCUUUAAGACUGCAUCGCUUGAAUCCAGGAGAGGUGAGUGGAAUUCCGAGUGUAGAGGUGAAAUUCGUAGAUAUUCGCAAGAACACCAGUGGCGAAGGCGGCUUACUGGUCCGGUUCUGACGCUGAGGCGCGAAAGCGUGGGGAGCAAACAGG
rnacentral:rRNA from 1 species